CGCCUACGCUCUGUCUCUGUCUCUCUCUCUCAAAAAUGAAUAAAUGUUAAAAUAUAAACAAACAAACAAAAAUACUGCAAGACUUUUGAGUCAGCCUGGUGGUAUUCUAACUGGUUUGGCAAGGUCUUCUCUAUGUGUCUUAACAACUAUCAGAAAUAACGCAUAACCACAAGAGUGCCUCCUGGAAUGCCUUGAUUUCAUGCAUUGUAAUAAAAUGAAUCAUAUACGCUUAAGGAAAGGAUUUAAAAAAUGUAAAGCAAGCAAGCAGUACAAGCCCAAAUGACGCUGCUACCAUUGAGCAGUGCUGAAUACGCAAUUACAUGCUGAACAAUAGGUAUUAACAAAUCAGGCCGAAUGCUCGUGAGAAAAUGGUCCUCUAAUUAAAUAAAAGGAGAAUCCGAGUUUCUUGUUGCAGGGAUUGUUGGUGGGAUUAAAGGAUUGUUCUGGAGCCCAGUUCACAGAAUGAGAGACCUGGCGGCCUGCCUCAGAGCUCUGCAGCCCCCACCUGCUGAGAUGCCCCAAGCCCUGAGACCAACUUGGUUUCACUAAGUGGGAGGAUUAAGACAGAUCUUGACCAUCGCUCCCCCUUUGGUCAGCAAAGAAAAAGAAAAAGAAAAUGAGGAAAACAGCUCAUUUUUCACUUGUCAUUUCACGGAAUGAGUCUAAGACCCAGGGUGGAUUCCCAUCUUUCAUUUAUUACAGAGAGCUACAGGAAUUUCCUCUCCGCAAUAGGAUUCUAUGUGCAGGACUAUUGUAGCAUUGGAGUCACGUGGAGCUGUGAUGAUGGCACUAAGAAAAACCCGGAGUUAAAAAAACUCACCUGGAUCUAAUGAACUACACUGCCACCUGCUAGGCUGUGACAUUGGGAAAAAUACUCAACCUCUCUGGUGUCGAUUUCAUCAUGAUAAACUGGGAAUAAUGGUCAAUCUAAUGUCAUGAAGUUGUUGGGAGAAUUCAGUGAUUCGAAUUAUAUAGGGCAAUUAGCUACUGUAACACCUGCUCCAUUGGAACUGCUUAGUACAGGACAAGAAUUACUGUUAGUACUUUCAAGAGACCAAAUGAAUAUUUUCUUCCUUAAUAAAAUGGUAACCUCUAAGCUAUCCAGAGGUUUUAGUCAGGGAAGAGAUAGGUGUUAUGUCAUUUGUAAUUUUUUAUCACAGUAUCAUUACCUGUCUAUUUAAAUAUUCAGCAUAUAAUAUGUAUAUGUAUAUGUAUAUGUAUAUGUAUAUGUAUAUGUAUACUUAUGUGCACCUGUAUAUGUAUGUGUGUGUAUUGUUAUGGCUGCAAUGCUUGUACCCCCCAACCCCAAAUUCAAUUCUUUGGGGAAAUCCUAACCCCAAAGAUGAUGAUAUUUGUAGGCAAAGCCUGUUGGGUGAUUAGGUCAUGAGUGGGGAACCCUCACAAAUGGGAUUAGUGCUAAAGAGACCCCACAGAGUUCCCUAGCCUCUUGAGUCUUCCAGGAUACUACAAGAAGUCUACAACACAGAAGCUGGCUUUUUGACCUCUGACUUCCAGCCUCCAAAACUGUGAGCAAUACAGUUGUUGUUUAUAAGCUGCCCGGUCUGUGGUAUUGUUAUAUACAUCGCAUAUUUCUAUAGCAGCCUGAAUGGACUCACAUAUAUGCAUAUGUGGAUAGGUACUUAGGUAGCUAGCUAGCUAGCUAGUCAGACAGGUAGAUAGAUAUCCAUGUAACUAACACUCCGAUCAAGAUAUGGAAUAUUGCCAUCACCCCAAUAUUUCUUUCCAGUGUAUUUCUUUCCAGUCUGUCAUCCUCUCCUCUGGAGUCAAACCCUAUUCUGACUUUUAUCCCUGUGAACCAGUUUGUCUGUUCUUGAACUUCCAUAUAGAUGGACUCAUACAGAAAACACUUUUUGCUUUUGGCUUUUUUAGUUCUAUGUAGUGUUUUUGAGAUUCAUCCAUGUUGUUGCAGGCAUUAGUCAUCUGGUUUUUUUCAUUCCUGGACUAUUCCACUCUGUGAAUAUAACACGUUGUCUCUUGUUCAUGGGCAUUUGCGUUAUUUCCAGUGUUGUUUGUAAUUCGAAGUGCUUCAGUUGAGAUGGCAUGGUAUAUAUGCGUUUGCAUUAGAUGACUUUAUUCUACAUCUUAGGAUAUGUCACAUUUUAUAGGCCUUUCCAAGCUUAAAUGAAUAGGGUUUAAGAAUCCAUUAAACCUAGAUUGUAUGCUUCAGAAUGGAACUUUAGAUUCUAAAGGAAAGAUAGAUGAUAGACAGAUAGAUAGAUAGAUAGAUAGACAGAGGUGUAGAUAGAUUCCAAAAUAGCCCAUUUACAGUUGUAGAUUCCUAGGUUUUUUGUUUGCCUGACUCCUGCCAGUGAAAUAUUGUUGCAUUUAUCCUAAGGGGAUCUUGCUGUCAGAGCAUUUAGGACAGCGGGCUGACCCUUUUUGAGUUUACUUAUUAGUUUAUAAACUGU